rnacentral:rRNA from 1 species
AGUGAACGCUGGCGGUAGGCCUAACACAUGCAAGUCGAACGGCAGCACAGUAAGAGCUUGCUCUUACGGGUGGCGAGUGGCGGACGGGUGAGGAAUACAUCGGAAUCUACUUUUUCGUGGGGGAUAACGUAGGGAAACUUACGCUAAUACCGCAUACGACCUACGGGUGAAAGCAGGGGAUCUUCGGACCUUGCGCGAUUGAAUGAGCCGAUGUCGGAUUAGCUAGUUGGCGGGGUAAAGGCCCACCAAGGCGACGAUCCUUAGCUGGUCUGAGAGGGUGAUCAGCCACACUGGAACUGAGACACGGUCCAGACUCCUACGGGAGGCAGCAGUGGGGAAUAUUGGACAAAGGGCGCAAGCCUGAUCCAGCCAUACCGCGUGGGUGAAGAAGGCCUUCGGGUUGUAAAGCCCUUUUGUUGGGAAAGAAAAGCAGCAGGUUAAUACCCCGCUGUUCUGACGGUACCCAAAGAAUAAGCACCGGCUAACUUCGUG